rnacentral:rRNA from 1 species
GUGAACAAUUUUUAACGGCCGCGGUAUCCUAACCGUGCAAAGGUAGCGCAAUCACUUGUCCUUUAAUUGAAGACCUGUAUGAAUGGCAUAACGAAAGCUUAACUGUCUCCUUUUUACAGUCAAUGAAAUUGAUCUAUUCGUGCAGAAGCGAAUAUAAUAACAUAAGACGAGAAGACCCUGUGGAGCUUUAGACACAACAACAGCCCAUGUUAAACAUUCCUACAAGACAUAAACUAAGUGGGACCUGCUGAAUGUCUUCGGUUGGGGCGACCAUGAGGUAAAAAACAACCCCCAAGAGGAAUAGGAACACCUUCUCCUAAAAACAAGAAACACCACUCUAAUUAACAGAAAUUCUGACCAAAUGAUCCGGACACACCGAUCAACGAACCAAGUUACCCCAGGGAUAACAGCGCAAUCCCCUUUCAGAGCCCAUAUCGACAAGGGGGUUUACGACCUCGAUGUUGGAUCAGGACCCCCCAAUGGUGUAACCGCUAUUAAAGGUUCGUUUGUUCAACGAUUAAAGUCCUACGUGAUC